AGAAGAAUGUAGAACUUUCAUAACAGAAAGAAAAGAUUUUAGGCAUCUAUUUUACCAUCUCAGAGGAAGAUAGCUGCAGUUGUGUAAAACAGAUUUAUUUAUUCAAAAAUCAACUAUUUAUGGAAUACCUACUUUGUCUUGAGCCCUGAUGUGAGAGCUGGAGAUCCCAAGAUGAAUAAGACACCGUCGCUACUCUCAAGGAACUCACAGCCCAGUGAAAGACACAGAGAAGAAACUAGACAGUUGUAGUUGUAUCAGACACCUGUAGUUGCCAUCUACCUUUCCAGAAAUUGUCCUUUCCCACCUACACAGUCACAAAAGGCAAUAUGAUUCUACCCUCACUUUCCCAAGAUGAUUGGUCCCUCAGGAAGCAGUUGACUCAUGAGUAUUCUACAUUGUUAUUGAAGUGAUGAUUCUUCUGACCAGUGAAGCAGGGUCAUAUUUCCUGCAUUUAGAAUUUUAUUUGGUUCCCAGCAAGACAAUAGCAGUUAGAGUGAAUAACUCAGUAAUGGGAGCACUGAUUGAAAAAGAAAGAUGAGAAGAACCUCUGGGACUUGAACAAGAUUUAAUCUCUAUUGUUCUCAAAGAAAACUGGUCUGCAUAAAAGAGCUCAAACUGAAUUGUUCUAAACUGGAGGGGAAGGGGACUUCUAAACAGCCUAUUAUUUGAGAUUAUCCAGAUUAUAUAACUUAAUUCCAGAUACUUAGGAAUCAUUUUAUUUUCAAUAAAUUCUAUCUUUUCAUCUUC
rnacentral:lncRNA from 10 species